GAGUUUGAUCAUGGCUCAGAUUGAACGCUGGCGGCAGGCCUAACACAUGCAAGUCGAACGGUAACAGGAAGCAGCUUGCUGCUUCGCUGACGAGUGGCGGACGGGUGAGUAAUGUCUGGGAAGCUGCCUGAUGGAGGGGGAUAACUACUGGAAACGGUAGCUAAUACCGCAUAAUGUCGCAAGACCAAAGAGGGGGACCUUCGGGCCUCUUGCCAUCGGAUGUGCCCAGAUGGGAUUAGCUUGUUGGUGGGGUAACGGCUCACCAAGGCGACGAUCCCUAGCUGGUCUGAGAGGAUGACCAGCCACACUGGAACUGAGACACGGUCCAGACUCCUACGGGAGGCAGCAGUGGGGAAUAUUGCACAAUGGGCGCAAGCCUGAUGCAGCCAUGCCGCGUGUAUGAAGAAGGCCUUCGGGUUGUAAAGUACUUUCAGCGGGGAGGAAGGGAGUAAAGUUAAUACCUUUGCUCAUUGACGUUACCCGCAGAAGAAGCACCGGCUAACUCCGUGCCAGCAGCCGCGGUAAUACGGAGGGUGCAAGCGUUAAUCGGAAUUACUGGGCGUAAAGCGCACGCAGGCGGUUUGUUAAGUCAGAUGUGAAAUCCCCGGGCUCAACCUGGGAACUGCAUCUGAUACUGGCAAGCUUGAGUCUCGUAGAGGGGGGUAGAAUUCCAGGUGUAGCGGUGAAAUGCGUAGAGAUCUGGAGGAAUACCGGUGGCGAAGGCGGCCCCCUGGACGAAGACUGACGCUCAGGUGCGAAAGCGUGGGGAGCAAACAGGAUUAGAUACCCUGGUAGUCCACGCCGUAAACGAUGUCGACUUGGAGGUUGUGCCCUUGAGGCGUGGCUUCCGGAGCUAACGCGUUAAGUCGACCGCCUGGGGAGUACGGCCGCAAGGUUAAAACUCAAAUGAAUUGACGGGGGCCCGCACAAGCGGUGGAGCAUGUGGUUUAAUUCGAUGCAACGCGAAGAACCUUACCUGGUCUUGACAUCCACGGAAGUUUUCAGAGAUGAGAAUGUGCCUUCGGGAACCGUGAGACAGGUGCUGCAUGGCUGUCGUCAGCUCGUGUUGUGAAAUGUUGGGUUAAGUCCCGCAACGAGCGCAACCCUUAUCCUUUGUUGCCAGCGGUCCGGCCGGGAACUCAAAGGAGACUGCCAGUGAUAAACUGGAGGAAGGUAGGGAUGACGUCAAGUCAUCAUGCCCCUUACGACCAGGGCUACACACGUGCUACAAUGGCGCAUACAAAGAGAAGCGACCUCGCGAGAGCAAGCGGACCUCAUAAAGUGCGUCGUAGUCCGGAUUGGAGUCUGCAACUCGACUCCAUGAAGUCGGAAUCGCUAGUAAUCGUGGAUCAGAAUGCCACGGUGAAUACGUUCCCGGGCCUUGUACACACCGCCCGUCACACCAUGGGAGUGGGUUGCAAAAGAAGUAGGUAGCUUAACCUUCGGGAGGGCGCUUACCACUUUGUGAUUCAUGACUGGGGUGAAGUCGUAACAAGGUA
rnacentral:rRNA from 1 species